rnacentral:rRNA from 1 species
UCGAACGGCAGCACGGAGCUUGCUCUGGUGGCGAGUGGCGAACGGGUGAGUAAUAUAUCGGAACGUACCCUAGAGUGGGGGAUAACGUAGCGAAAGUUACGCUAAUACCGCAUACGAUCUAAGGAUGAAAGUGGGGGAUCGCAAGACCUCAUGCUCGUGGAGCGGCCGAUAUCUGAUUAGCUAGUUGGUAGGGCAAAAGCCUACCAAGGCAUCGAUCAGUAGCUGGUCUGAGAGGACGACCAGCCACACUGGAACUGAGACACGGUCCAGACUCCUACGGGAGGCAGCAGUGGGGAAUUUUGGACAAUGGGCGAAAGCCUGAUCCAGCAAUGCCGCGUGAGUGAAGAAGGCCUUCGGGUUGUAAAGCUCUUUUGUCAGGGAAGAAACGGUGGGAGCUAAUAUCUCUUGCUAAUGACGGUACCUGAAGAAUAAGCACCGGCUAACUACGUGCCAGCAGCCGCGGUAAU